GACGAACGCUGGCGGCAUGCCUAACACAUGCAAGUCGAACGGGGUAAUUUACAGAAGCCCAUAUUGGGCCGAAGUAAACCUACCUAGUGGCGGACGGGUGAGUAACGCGUGGAUAACCUGCCCAUAAGACCGGGACAACACCGGGAAACUGGUGCUAAAACCGGAUAAACUCUAACAAUCGCAUGAUAGAUAGAGAAAACAGGUCUUAAAAGACACUGCUUAUGGAUGGGUCCGCGUCCCAUUAGCUAGUUGGUGCGGUAACGGCGUACCAAGGCGACGAUGGGUAGCCGGCCUGAGAGGGUGUCCGGCCACACUGGAACUGAGACACGGUCCAGACUCCUACGGGAGGCAGCAGUGGGGAAUUUUCCGCAAUGGGCGCAAGCCUGACGGAGCAAUGCCGCGUGAGCGAAGAAGGCCUUUGGGUCGUAAAGCUCUGUCCGGGGGGAAGAAAACCUGACGGUACCCCCGGAGGAAGCCCCGGCUAACUACGUGCCAGCAGCCGCGGUAACACGUAGGGGGCAAGCGUUGUCCGGAAUUACUGGGCGUAAAGCGCGCGUAGGCGGCUAGAUAAGUCAGUGGUGAAACCCGGCGGCUCAACCGCAGGCCUGCCAUUGAAACUGUCUGGCUUGAGGACAGGAGAGGAGAGUGGAAUUCCCAGUGUAGCGGUGAUAUGCGUAGAUAUUGGGAGGAACACCAGUGGCGAAGGCGGCUCUCUGGCCUGAACCUGACGCUGAGGCGCGAAAGCGUGGGGAUCAAACAGGAUUAGAUACCCUGGUAGUCCACGCCGUAAACGAUGGGUGCUAGGUGUUGGGGGUAUCGACCCCCUCAGUGCCGCAGUUAACGCAAUAAGCACCCCGCCUGGGGAGUACGGUCGCAAGACUGAAACUCAAAGGAAUUGACGGGGGCCCGCACAAGCGGUGGAGCAUGUGGUUUAAUUCGACGCAACCCGAAGAACCUUACCAGGGCUUGACAUCGUGUGCCAGCUAUAGAGAUAUAGCCUCCUGUGGAUUACUCUACAGGCACACAGACAGGUGGUGCAUGGUUGUCGUCAGCUCGUGUCGUGAGAUGUUGGGUUAAGUCCCGCAACGAGCGCAACCCCUAUCUUUAGUUGCCAGCACAUCAAGGUGGGCACUCUAAAGAGACUGCCGUUGACAAAACGGAGGAAGGUGGGGAUGACGUCAAAUCAUCAUGCCCUUUAUGUCCUGGGCUACACACGUGCUACAAUGGCCGGUACAGAGGGAAGCAAAGCCGUGAGGUGGAGCAAAUCCCACAAAGCCGGUCCCAGUUCGGAUUGCAGGCUGCAACUCGCCUGUAUGAAGCCGGAAUCGCUAGUAAUCGCAGGUCAGCAAACUACGGUGAAUACGUUCCCGGGCCUUGUACACACCGCCCGUCACACCACGAAAGCUGACAACACCCGAAGCCGGUGAGCUAACCCGUAAGGGAAGCAGCCGUCGAAGGUGGGGUUGGUGAUUGGGGUG
rnacentral:rRNA from 1 species